UACGUAGGGGGCAAGCGUUGUCCGGAAUUAUUGGGCGUAAAGAGCGCGUAGGCGGUCCGAUAAGUCGGCUGUGAAAGUCAGGGGCUCAACCCUUGAAAGCCGGCCGAUACUGUCGGACUAGAGUCCGGAAGAGGCAAGUGGAAUUCCUGGUGUAGCGGUGAAAUGCGCAGAUAUCAGGAGGAACACCAAUUGCGAAGGCAGCUCGCUGGGACGUUACUGACGCUGAGACGCGAAAGCGUGGGGAGCAAACAGG
rnacentral:rRNA from 1 species